rnacentral:lncRNA from 1 species
GCAAGGGUUCGAGCAGCGCCGGAUGUUGGAGGUAUGUAUCUUUUACCUUCAUGUCGAUUACUAUUCAUGAUAUUAUUGUCAUAUUGCUGCAUCGAUAUUAGUAAGCAUAUGUAUUGGAAUAUCAUAUUACCUGCUUGUGAUUGAGUCUUAUGCCAUCUACAUACCUUGGAUUUAGAAGGAUAAAUUGGAGGUCAUUCCCCUCUAGAACAAAUUACUUUGGAUACAGUUGUUGGAAUAGUGUCUAAGGCUGUAACUAUAUCCGGUUGUGCAUGGUCCUUUUGGGUUGCCUUCACCAUAGCAACUUGAUAGGAUGAUUUAUUAAGAGAGAAUAAAUAUUAUUAAUAUAUUAUGGGAAUAAUAUAAUGAGUAAUAUAUUGUUAUUUGAUUAAUAUAAGUCAUAGAAUUAAUUAGAAUUAAUUUGGUGACUUAAAGAGAUUAAUUAAAUAAAGGGGUAUAAACUGUCAAUUGUUUGAUAGUUAAGCUUUAAACUGUAAAUCCAUUUGGAUAUACUUUGGACGGAUUCUAAGAGCUUUAGGAAAGCUAAAAUCGUCCAUAUGCUUAUCUAGGAAUGGAUUUGGAUAGCCUUAAGAGAAGAUUAUCUGAUAGGGACUUAUCUGUAAUCAUUAAGGAAUCUACAAGUAUAAAUAGACCCCAUGGCAUAGGGAAUUCGACACUUCUGGAAAAGCAAGAGAACUCUGGUCGAAUUCCUCCCCUCUCCUCUCUCCCAAAUCAUCCUCCUUGCUUUGGUGUUUGUAAGCCAUUAGAGGAGUGACAUUUGUGACUCUAGAAGCUCCAAGACCUCAAGAUCAACAAGGAACUCAAAGGUAUGAUUCUAGAUCUGUUUCAAUGUUGUUAUUUAACCUAAUUAGUAAUUUAGAAGUCUUGGAUUCAAAGCAUGUUUAUUAGAAAGCCUAGAUCCAAGCAUUAGGGUUUUGCAUGCGCACAUAGGAAAGUUCUUAUGGCUAAAACCCAUCAGUGGUAUCAGAGCCUAGCUUGGUUUUCUGUAAAUUGUUGCUUGAUUAACUGAAACAAACCUGCAAAAUUCGAAUUUUUGGUUUCUGAGUCAUGGACUCGGCGAGUCUCAAAGUGGACUCGGCGAGUAGGCCUGACUCGGCGAGUCCAUUUGUGCACUCGGCGAGUCCAGGCGUCAGGAAUGGCCAGAUUCGGGAUUUCUUUGUGUUUAUCUUAUCUUAACUUACCAUAAACUAAUUAGAUCAACAUUAAUUCGUUUUUCUGAUAAAUAUAACUAUUAUCUUGAUCUAGUUAAAGGUAAUUAUCAACUAAUUAAAUAUUUAAUUUCCUUAUAUGAUAAUUAAUUAAUUAUUUUGAUUAUUUUGGUAAUUAUCUUUAAAAGAAAUCUUGAAUAAAUCAAAUAUAGAUAAUUAGGAUAUUAAUUGUUAAUUGGAAUUAUUUGUUAUUUGAUCCUCCAUGUUUUAAAUGUUUAAAACCUACCCUCAUGUUUUGAAAUUUACUUUUGUGAUUAAAAGUUUUAAUUUAGACAACUUAAAUUUCAAACCCUAGAUUUUAAAAGUUUUAAAAUACAACCCUAUACUAAUAUGAUAUUACUAGAAUAAUAUAUAUAUGUAUAACUAAAUGCUAGUCUUACCGUUAGUAGGCCUCAUUCACGAAGCCGAUCUAUAAGGUGGGUAUAAGGUUGCGGCCUAUAAAAUGGCGCUUAAUGGGUGUACACUCACACCCACCGCUUGCUUGAUUGGUGGAGGGUCGUUAGCCGAACGGGUAGGAUAGGGCAACCUCAUCCUCUCAUUAAAAGUAUAAUAAGAAAUAUAAAGUAACUACAUAUUUUUUUAAAAUUUCCCAAUCCUAGUUACUUUAGGAAAAGUGAAUUGAUGCAAUCCCAUGAAAUUACACUUUGCACCUUGCUAAGAUGUUAGUGGAGCGUGUGUGGUUUACCGGCACACUAAUUGGUUCUAAGCGAAGGUGGCAAAGGGUGAUUCAUUGUUUAUCAUAGUUCGAUGGAGCGUGUGUGGUUUACCGGCACAUCGAAUAGGUGAUCGUUACAAUGAAGGCACCAUGUGAAUUUGCAUGGUAAUUCACACCCGCUUUGUGAUCCUCGGCAUCCCAGUCACAAACAAGAGGGGCAUAUCGAGAUUUAAACAUGCCAUUGAAUAGUUUCAAUGAAUCUCAUCCGAACCUAGGAAUUCUCAAAAACACUUAGGACUAAUAGUUUAAGUUUUGUGAUGGAGAAUUAGUGAAUCGUCAUUCACUUACCUUCAAUUUAUUUGCAUGUUAGAUUACGGCAUCCCUUUUCUAGUAUGUAAAUGUUAUUGUUGGAUCCUAGCCCUAAUUUUCUUAUUGGGUGAUAAUUAGGGAUUCUUAUUCUAAUCUAUCUUUGUCCUUUUCUAAUUGUAGAUGUCGAACGCAAACAACGCUGCUGCUAGUUCUUUCACGUUGAUGAGCCUUUGCCAAAAGGUCACCUUCGAUGGAACGAACUUUAGCGAAUGGAUAAGAUACAUUCGCACCAUUGCUCGCUAUGAGGAUAAGGAGUAUGUCCUCGAUGAGAAGCUCGAGAAAAUCAACCCCGAAAUUGCUACUCCCGCCGAAAUCACCGCCUUUGAAACUCAUGAGCGAGAUGCAACGAAGGUACAUUGCAUCAUGAUCGCCACCAUGAACUCCGAAUUCCAAAAGUCCUACGAGGACAUGUACCCGUACGAGAUGCAUCAAGACUUAUUGGAGAGGUACCACCAAAACGCGAGACAAGAGAGGUACGAGAUUUUCACUAACAUGAUUUCCGCGAAGAUGGGUCAUGGAGAAUCUCUUACCGUGCACUUGCAAAAGAUGCAAAGGUAUGUUGACCGCCUUCGCAAGUUAAAUGUUGACUUCGGUGAAGACUUGGCGAUCGACAUGGUGCUUCACUCUUUGCCUCCGAUGUACAACCAAUUUAGGAUGACCUACCACAUGAACAAAGAAGAGGUCACCCUAAGCAAGCUCCAAGGUCUCUUGAGGGUUGCUGAGAGCAACUUCAAAGACAAGUCUGUUGCACCUACUCCCAAUCCGCCCGCUGCUCCUGUCUUGGCUAUUGGACAAGGGAAGGGAAAGAAGAGGAAAGCUUCAUCGAAGAACUAUCGCAAGGUGAAAGCCCGAGAUGGUGCCUCUUCUAGUGGGACCAAAGUUGAUCCCGCCAAGCCCUGCUCUAACCCGAAGGAGGCAGAGUGCCACCACUGCCACAAGAUAGGACAUUGGAAGAGAAGCUGCCCGGAUUACCUGCAAGCAAUCAAAGAAGGAAAGAUCAAGCCAUCUUUCGCAGGUAUAUAUACAAUCAAAUCUAACGAUUCUAAUCAUGCUAUUUCUUGGGUUCUUGAUACCGGUUGUGGUUAUCACAUUUGUUCUAAUGUGCAGGGACUAAGAAGAAGUAGGGAUGUGGAGCAAGGAAGGAUCAAUCUAAUCAUGGGGAACAGAAGAUCGUCGCCUGUGACCAAGAUUGGAGUGUAUUCCUUAGUGCUUAGGAAUAGUUUAGUUUUAGAUUUGAACAAUUGUUGCUAUUCGCCAGAAAUGGCAAGAAACAUCAUUUCAUUUCAUGGUUUAUAUAGACAAGGAUUUAGAUUUUCUUUUAAUAAUGAGAAUGGUUCUAUUUUGGCUUAUCUAAAUGGUGUCUUUUACUUUGAAGCUAUACCAUGUAAUGGAAUAUAUGAAACCGUUAUGAUUGUUGAUAACUUAGGAAAUGAUGUUUUGAAUAUUGAUUCUUCCACUAGUAUGGAUAAAGCAUCCUUGUGGCAUUGUCGUCUUGGACAUGUCAACAAGAAACGCAUAGCCCAACUCCAAAAGGAUGGAGUGUUGGAGUCAUUCGACCUUAGGGAAGAUGACACAUGCGAGUCUUGUUUGCUUGGAAAGAUGACUAAGUCACCCUUCACGAGUACAUGUGAAAGGGGCGAGGGUCUAUUGGACCUAAUACAUACCGAUGUAUGUGGACCGUUUAGAUCAACCACGAAGGAUGGGAACCGCUUCUAUGUGACUUUUACCGAUGACUAUAGUAGAUAUGGGUAUAUCUACUUAAUCAAGCAAAAGUCAGACACCUUUGAAAAGUUCAAAGAGUUCAAGAAUGAAGUGGAGAAUCAAUUGGGCAGGAAAAUCAAGAUGCUUCGAUCCGAUCGAGGAGGAGAGUACCUAAGUCUUGAAUUCCACGAUUAUCUCAAGGAGUGUGGAAUAGUUUCGCAAUUGACGCCUCCUAGGACACCGCAGUUGAAUGGUGUGGCAGAAAGGCGUAAUCGAACCUUAUUGGAUAUGGUUCGCUCUAUGAUGAGUCGUGCUUCACUACCUAUCUCUUUUUGGGGGUAUGCCUUAGAGACUGCCGCCCAUAUCCUUAACCGAGUCCCUACUAAGAAGGUUGCCAAAACACCUCACGAGAUGUGGACAGGGAAAGCUCCCUCGUUGGCACAUAUCAAGGUUUGGGGUUGCGAGGCUUUCGUAAGACGAGAUACUCACGACAAGCUUGAACCUCGAAGUGAGCGAUGUAUUUUCAUCGGCUACCCGCAGACAUCCUUUGGAUAUCUCUUCUAUAGACCGAAGGACAAUGUUGUCUUCGUUGCGAGGAGAGGAGUUUUCCGAGAGCGAGAACUCAUAAGCCAAGGAGACAGUGGGAGGCAAAUCGAGCUUGAAGAGAUUCAAGAGUCGAUAGAUGAAGGAACCUCUACCGCUGGCACUCAACCCGAGGAGGAAACUCCGGUUGAACCGAUUGACGAAUCCUUACCUCUUAGACGUUCCGAUAGAGUUAGAGUUCAACCCCAGUUUUAUGGUUUUCAUAUUACUACCGAAGGGGACACGUAUAUUAGUGAUGGUACACUAAUAAAUCUUGAUGAACCUAAUAGCUAUAAGGAAGCCAUGGCAGGCCCGGAGUCUGCAAAAUGGAAAGAGGCAAUGGAUAGCGAGAUCCAAUCCAUGUAUGAUAACCAAGUUUGGAAUUUGGUUGAUUAUGUGCCCGGACGUAAGACCGUUGGGUGCAAAUGGAUCUUCAAGAAGAAGACCGACGUGGAUGGAAACGUACACACAUAUAAAGCGCGAUUGGUUGCGAAGGGCUUUACUCAAACUCCCGGAGUUGACUAUGAUGAGACCUUCUCACCAGUUGCGAAGAUUAAAUCUAUUAGAGUGAUGCUAGCAAUUGCCGCAUUUCAUGAUUAUGAGAUUUGGCAAAUGGAUGUCAAGACCGCUUUCCUUAACGGAAAGUUGGCUGAGGAUGUUUACAUGGCUCAGCCAGAGGGGUUUGUGGAUCCGAAGCAUCCGAAUAGAGUGUGUAAGCUUGAGAAGUCCAUUUAUGGACUUAAGCAAGCGUCUCGCAGAUGGAAUCUUUGCUUCGAUGAGAAAGUCAAAGAGUUUGGAUUUGUACGAAGCGAAGACGAAUCUUGUGUAUAUGUCAAAGCCAGUGGGAGUAUAGUAAGCUUCCUCGUUCUAUAUGUCGAUGACAUAUUACUCAUAGGAAACGACAUCCCGACUCUGCAGGAGGUUAAGUCCUGGCUCGGGAAGUGCUUCGCUAUGAAGGACCUCGGAGAGGCUUCUUACAUUUUGGGAAUAAGGAUAGUAAGAGAAAGAAGUAAGAGACUAAUUGGACUUAGUCAGAAUACUUACUUAGAGAAGGUACUAAAACGUUUUAGUAUGGAAAACUCAAAGAAGGGAGAACUACCGAUACAAAGUAAUGCCAAAUUGAGUAAGACUCAAAGUCCGAGUACCGAAGCUGAGAUAGCAGAAAUGAGCCGAGUACCAUACGCUUCCGCAGUUGGCUCAAUCAUGUACGCUAUGACUUGUACUCGCCCUGAUGUAGCCUUCGCUUUGAGCAUGGUUAGCAGAUAUCAAGGGAAUCCUGGCAAAGCACAUUGGAUUGCGGUGAAGAAUAUCCUUAAGUACCUUCGGAGGACGAAGGAAUGGUUCUUAGUCCUCGGAGGGAGUGAUGACUUGAAGGUGCGAGGGUAUAGUGACGCCAGUUUUCAGACCGACAGGGACAACUACCGUUCGCAGUCGGGCUGGGUCUUUACCCUAAAUGGAGGAGCAGUGACAUGGAAGAGUUCCAAGCAGGAAACCGUAGCUGAUUCAACGUGCGAAUCAGAGUACAUUGCAGCGAGCGAAGCGUCGAAGGAGGCAAUAUGGCUAAAGAACUUCAUCGGUGAUCUUGGAGUCGUACCUGCCAUAAAGGAGCCAAUGGAGAUUUUCUGUGAUAACGAAGGUGCGGUUGCCUUAACCAAGGAACCGAGGGAUCAUGGUAGAUCAAGACAUAUCGACAGAAAGUAUCACUUCAUUAGACAUCGUGUAGAAGAAGGACAACUCGUAGUGAAGAGGAUAUCAUCAGAAGAUAACCCAGCAGAUCCGCUUACGAAGGGACUGAGUAGGGUUAAGCACUUGCAGCAUGCUAGGAGUAUUGGGCUGAAGGAUGAUAUUAGCAUAGAUUAGAUAGUAUUAGAAACGUGUAAUAGAUAAAUGUAAUUGACAUUUGAUGAUUAAAUAAAGGAGUUUUAUUUAUGAGUAAUGUUACUAUCUUAUGUUAAUUGUUUAGCUAUUGUUUCACUUUGCAUGUUUUGACUUCCAGAAUAAUUGAGUUUAUUAGGAAUAAUCGAAUUAUUCAAAUGGUCCACAAUCGUUCAUAUGUUGGGAGUAGAUAUGAAAGAAGAUUGUCAUGAAUUGGUGUGUAGAAUGUCUAAAUGGUGUUAGACAUAGCAAAGGAUUGCUGCAACGUUCAUGAGUGCUUAUGAACUAGUUUUGAGCAUUGGAAUAAACCCGCGCUUGCUGGAAUCACCUUAUGGAAUACGAUAUAAAAGGUGAUCGCAAGACGAUAAUAUCAUAUAGUCUUAAAACCUAGAUAUAUGGUUUAUUAUUUGUUAAUUGAUUGUACAUUGAUAAUACGAAAACGCAUCAGUAACUUGGUGUUAUAAAACGUAUUGUUGUGUAUAGUUGGUUAAUGAAUAAGUAAAUGCAUAUAAGUCGAAGUUUAUCUGUAACUUUUAUCUAAGAAGGUAAAAGCGAUAUCUCGGCCGCUCGAUGAUUUGAUUUGACUUAUGUGCCGGGCCCGGUCAGAACUGAAUUGAUGUGUUCGAUUAAGUUCUAUGUCAAAUAAAUCAGAGAUCGAGAAACCUAAAUGCUUGACUAACCAUUCCAUAGGAUUGUCAGCAUGAUAUCUAACAGAGGACUGUACGUUCCCUUAUCUAAAGGACAAGAUUGAUUAGAUCAGAGUUGACAGCGUCUUUGAGAGCUACGAUUGCAAACCGAAUUGUACUUGUAUAGUUACUAGACUUAUCCAAGUGGGAGACUGUUGGAAUAGUGUCUAAGGCUGUAACUAUAUCCGGUUGUGCAUGGUCCUUUUGGGUUGCCUUCACCAUAGCAACUUGAUAGGAUGAUUUAUUAAGAGAGAAUAAAUAUUAUUAAUAUAUUAUGGGAAUAAUAUAAUGAGUAAUAUAUUGUUAUUUGAUUAAUAUAAGUCAUAGAAUUAAUUAGAAUUAAUUUGGUGACUUAAAGAGAUUAAUUAAAUAAAGGGGUAUAAACUGUCAAUUGUUUGAUAGUUAAGCUUUAAACUGUAAAUCCAUUUGGAUAUACUUUGGACGGAUUCUAAGAGCUUUAGGAAAGCUAAAAUCGUCCAUAUGCUUAUCUAGGAAUGGAUUUGGAUAGCCUUAAGAGAAGAUUAUCUGAUAGGGACUUAUCUGUAAUCAUUAAGGAAUCUACAAGUAUAAAUAGACCCCAUGGCAUAGGGAAUUCGACACUUCUGGAAAAGCAAGAGAACUCUGGUCGAAUUCCUCCCCUCUCCUCUCUCCCAAAUCAUCCUCCUUGCUUUGGUGUUUGUAAGCCAUUAGAGGAGUGACAUUUGUGACUCUAGAAGCUCCAAGACCUCAAGAUCAACAAGGAACUCAAAGGUAUGAUUCUAGAUCUGUUUCAAUGUUGUUAUUUAACCUAAUUAGUAAAUUAGAAGUCUUGGAUUCAAAGCAUGUUUAUUAGAAAGCCUAGAUCCAAGCAUUAGGGUUUUGCAUGCGCACAUAGGAAAGUUCUUAUGGCUAAAACCCAU